rnacentral:rRNA from 1 species
AAUUGACCUCGGAUCAGGUAGGGAUACCCGCUGAACUUAAGCAUAUCAAUAAGCGGAGGAAAAGAAACCAACCGGGAUUGCCUCAGUAACGGCGAGUGAAGCGGCAACAGCUCAAAUUUGAAAUCUGACCCCGUCGGGGUUCGAGUUGUAAUUUGUAGAGGAUGUUCGGGCGCGAAGCCGGUCUAAGUCCCUUGGAACGGGGCGUCGUAGAGGGUGAGAAUCCCGUAUGUGACCGGCGAUCAAGCCUCUGUGAAACUCCUUCGACGAGUCGAGUUGUUUGGGAAUGCAGCUCAAAAUGGGUGGUAAAUUUCAUCUAAAGCUAAAUAUUGGCCAGAGACCGAUAGCGCACAAGUAGAGUGAUCGAAAGAUGAAAAGCACUUUGGAAAGAGAGUCAAAAAGUACGUGAAAUUGUUGAAAGGGAAGCGCUUGCAACCAGACCUGCCCGCGGGCGAUCAGCCGUCCCUUCCGGGGGCGGUGCACGCGCCCGCGAUCAGGCCAGCAUCGGUUCGGGCGGCCGGAUAAAGGCCCGGGGAACGUAGCUCCUCUCGGGGAGUGUUAUAGCCCCGGGUGCAAUGCGACCCGCCUGGACCGAGGACCGCGCUUCGGCUAGGAUGCUGGCGUAAUGUUUGUAAGCGGCCCGUCUUGAAACACGGACCAAGGAGUCUAACAUCCAUGCGAGUGUUUGGGUGUCAAACCCGUGCGCGUAAUGAAAGUGAACGGAGGUAGGAACCCAUAAGGGCGCACUAUCGACCGAUCCUGAUGUCUUCGGAUGGAUUUGAGUACGAGCAUGGCUGUUGGGACCCGAAAGGUAAAUUUACAACUUCCGUUUGGGAUGAAUCGUUAGCUAAUAGUGUUUCCAGAUGGUGAACUAUGCCUGAAUAGGGUGAAGCCAGAGGAAACUCUGGUGGAGGCUCGCAGCGGUUCUGACGUGCAAAUCGAUCGUCAAAUUUGGGUAUAGGGGCGAAAGUAAGUUACGAAUCUUCCAUUCUUCAGCCUGGCUGCCCGGAAGGAGUGGGGUUAGUGACGGACGAAGGGGUUGAAGCUCUUUUUCGGGUGGCCGGCCGGCUGGCUAUUGAUCUUUAGCUUCUAGAGAUCAAGUGCUAAUAUAAUAAUUUUUUUAGGACUAAUCGAUC